UACCAGCACCCCGAGUGGUCGGGACGUUUAUUGGGCCUAAAGCAUCCGUAGCCGGUUCUACAAGUCUUCCGUUAAAUCCACCUGCUUAACAGAUGGGCUGCGGAAGAUACUAUGGAGCUAGGAGGCGGGAGAGGCAAGCGGUACUCGAUGGGUAGGGGUAAAAUCCGAAGAUAUAUAGAAGAACAUCAAAGGCGAAGGCAGUUAACUAUUCCGUUCCUGACAUUGAGGCACGAAAGCGUGGGGAGCAAAACGG
rnacentral:rRNA from 1 species